rnacentral:rRNA from 1 species
ACACAUGCAGUCGAGGGGUAACAUUUUAGCUUGCUAAAGAUGACGACCGGCGAACGGGUGCGUAACGCGUAUAGAAUCUACCUCUUACUAAGGGAUAGCCCAGAGAAAUUUGGAUUAAUAUCUUAUAGUAUGUUAACUUGGCAUCAAGACAACAUUAAAGGUUACGGUAAGAGAUGACUAUGCGUCCUAUUAGCUAGAUGGUGUGGUAACGGCACACCAUGGCGACGAUAGGUAGGGGCCCUGAGAGGGGGAUCCCCCACACUGGUACUGAGACACGGACCAGACUCCUACGGGAGGCAGCAGUGAGGAAUAUUGGACAAUGGAGGCAACUCUGAUCCAGCCAUGCCGCGUGCAGGAAGACUGCCCUAUGGGUUGUAAACUGCUUUUGUACAGGAAGAAACACUGCUACGUGUAGCAGCUUGACGGUACUGUAAGAAUAAGGAUCGGCUAACUCCGUGCCAGCAGCCGCGGUAAUACGGAGGAUCCAAGCGUUAUCCGGAAUCAUUGGGUUUAAAGGGUCCGUAGGUGGAUAAUUAAGUCAGAGGUGAAAUCCUGCAGCUCAACUGUAGAAUUGCCUUUGAUACUGGUUAUCUUGAGUUAUUAUGAAGUAGUUAGAAUAUGUAGUGUAGCGGUGAAAUGCAUAGAUAUUACAUAGAAUACCAAUUGCGAAGGCAGAUUACUAAUAAUAUACUGACACUGAUGGACGAAAGCGUGGGGAGCGAACAGGAUUAGAUACCCUGGUAGUCCACGCCGUAAACGAUGGUCACUAGCUGUUCGGACUUCGGUUUGAGUGGCUAAGCGAAAGUGAUAAGUGACC